UUGACAGGAUGCCCGCCAUUGCAAUUCCAAACAAAAUAGCUUCACAGAAGAUCCUGUCUGAAGAAAACUGAGAUUUUUCUCACAAUUUGGGGGCUCAUCCAGGAUCUUGUUGCCUGACGAAGAUUUCUCACCACCACAGACAGGAAGGUGACAAACUGAUUUCAGCGGUCCCGUCAGGGGUGGUGGGUCAUCUCGGUACAGCUGGCAAAGGACCAAGACUGUUCAUCUGAAGACAGGCUCUGCAAAGCUCUGGGGAGAAGGGAGGCCAGCACAGACAUACGCAGACACAGCCCACAUAUAGUCCAGCCCAGAUCAGUAACAGGCACAGGGAUUACUGCCAAUAACUCAGACUGGGAAGCCAUGCAUGGACUGAGGACCAUAGGAUCAUUAGCUCAAACCACACCCUUGGAAGUCCUGAUCCAUCAGUUCCAAGCAGGAGAUUGGGAUCAGAUGUGAACAUGGAGAGAAUUGAAACUUAGUGGGAUGGACUGUUCCAAGUGCUCCUGACUACUGAGAUGACAAUAAGAAUGGCUGAGAAAAGGUGGACUCAUACCUGGGUAAAAGUGUCAGAUAACCCUGAUACCUGACAGACUGCAUUAACAAAGACUUUUAAGGGGUUGUUGUCUGAAGAUUUGUUCUCACAUGACGACUUCAAGAGACAAAGGCCUUUAUAUCCUGAAUCACAACACCAUGGACAGACACCAUGCAUUUUCCCUAAUCACACAGGGAGCGGGGAAGAGCCCAUCACAGAGCACACACCUACACAGAGCGCUGGAAACCCUGCAAGCGGUGCCAGAAGACCACCACUUUAGCAUCUUUCUCUGGUCAGCAGUGUGCAGGACAAGCCAGAAGCAGAGCAGCAGUGGGAGGCAGUACAGCUCUGCCACAUGGGAGCACAGAUCUGGCAGGCAGCUGGGAUAUCCCCCAGCUUGAGAGGAUGAGGAGGGGUGAGCCAGAGCCUCAGCUCUUACUGGAGCUGCACCAGCACCCAUGGAGAGGGCCAUGGGUCUAUGGCUACAAAGAAAUCAAGUAGCCUCCCACUAUUUCCAGAUAAUUUAAUGCAUAUCACUUAAUAGAGAUACAACUGUGUAGAUAAAAGAUAAUGACAAAAAAAAAAAAAAAAAACAACACACUGGUAAAUUGGGAAAGCAGCUAGACUCUGCAAACUGCCUGGCAGCUGAGCUGCCAGGUCUCACAUCCCUCAGGAGGUGGCACGAGUAAGUAAUGCAUCUGUCAGGGACAACUUUCAGAAGGGAAGUCUUGCCCACAAGAUAAGCCACAGCCUGGGAAAUCUGAGCCAAGGUUUCCUACCGGGUGAUGGCUUCAUUAACCAAUAAUUAAUAAACUACAAAAAUGAACUGGCAGGGAUUGAAAAUCAUGUAUUUAAUGGGCAAGAAGUCAAAGAAAGGACAUCACAUCCAUGAGGGGAGACUAGAGCUUUUUUCCUUUGCACAGCUGCCAUAGGCUAUUUUUCCUGUGCUGCUUUUCCACUGUCACUGAGUGGAAGUCUGCAUGUCUCACCAGUUGCAAGCUUAGGCCAACAGGCCAGACACAUCUCCAGAAUCAUUUCACGUUGGCACCAGAAGAUCUCCUCCUCCUCCACUGCUCAAGGGAGAAGGGAUCCUGUUACAAAAGCUCCAGCACCACCACUCAGGAAGCUCUGCAAUACACUGGAAGAAGAGGUGCCAAAGAUGCGGUGAAUGAGACCACAAAGAGCUGGAUGAGCUGGCCCCGACAGCAGUUAUUCCCACAGCCAAAGCUCAAGAGAGAUGGAAUACAUUAAAAACACCCACAGCUCUUGUGGGAGAACAACAAGUACCAUUGCAGACUCCGGAAUGACUGAUUCAAAACAAAUAUAUCCGUUAUCCACAUUGGGUUUGGACACGAGACCAGGCUGCAUGCUAAGGCAUUGUUUUUGGAUUUCUUAACUAUGAGUUUGGUCUGGUGGAAACUGUCCUGUAAGGACACCUCAGCAGCAAGACAGGUAACUGUGGGUGGCCACAGAACAAUCUCAGAAAGAGACAUCCUGUGUCAGUACUCCUCGGGGCAGGCUUUGGCAGCACAGGUGUCUUUCCUCAGGCACAAGCCCCCUCUUCUCAGGAGUGGCACUGCUUAGAUGCCAUGGAGACAAGGCAUGGAGAGGGUGUUUGAUUUGUGUUGGAUUUGCUGAGCUUGCAGCCAGGUUUCUUUCCUCUUAGCAUUGCAGCCUCUUUAUACAAUGCUGAAGGUGAGCAGCCCUGCAGAGCUCAGCCAAGCCCAGGUAGCAAGGGCCAGCUCUCACACACAAAGCACGACGCUGGGGCAGGUGAAAGAGUUGCUCUUCUCAUGGAAGCAGACACGAAGGGGCAUCUGGGCUCACAGCUUCCUUUCUCAGCACAGAACACGGGUUAAAAUGACUUCCAGUGCCAGCUCAAGCUCAGAGAACCAUGAGAUGUUUUGGUGGCAACCCCAUGUGGCUCUGCAGUUACUUGCAGCCUCAUGGGUCAAAAGCCCUCAACAUUGCUGGCCCAGACCUCCUCCUUAACCAGAAUUACCCAGCUGAAGUUGGCAGUUAUUAUUUCCAGAUAAGAUACCCAUCUACCCUCUGCUUACAUAAGCAAGUGCCGAUACUCCAAAUAGUCUUUUCCCUUGGCAGGAGAGAAAAAUAAGGCUUACUGUAAAUAAAGAUGACUGUUUAAUUACCUUCUGAUAAAGUCUAAGUUUCAAUGUUUCUGGGUUUAAUAUAAAGUCAUACCUAUUUCAAUUCUUUUAACUCUAAUAACUAGACCACAUCAAGUCACAAGGAAUUGUUAGUGGUACUGUUUGAGCAGAGCCCAUGGUUUCAUACCAUGAUAAGUUUAUCAUGUUGUAUUGCCAAUUUAUCUGUGACUUGUUGCUGUUUGACUGGCAGCAAUAAAAAUACCCUCUGCUUUACUACACAAGUGAAA